UUAAAUUAGUUCUACACCAAGCCUUUAGGUGGCAGUACAACUAAUUCGCACAAUGCGAAUUCCACACACAAGCCACAAAGAAGCCAUCUACCGCGGUCAACAACACCGACCUAUCUGAACAGAACCACGCGCUGUCUGUGUGGUUUCACUGUUACAAGUUUCUUGGCGACAUGGGGGAAAGUUCCUCACAUACCAACGGAAAAUGGGCUUCACAUACAUGCUGCUGUCUCAUAAUAUGGCGAAGACGAGUCACUUGAAGGCCUAACAGCUCUUAUGAGGAGCAGUCUUGCCAUAGAAGACUGAAAGAAUGUAAGAUUAACUUCUUUGUGACCAAUAUGACUUGCUCAUUGAUACAUUAGCUAUGUCAAUAUGAGAUGCAUGGCGAAGUAUUUAAUUUAUUUGUCUCUCUUCUAGGAGCUGUAGAAACAACAGGGUGCCUGCUGCAGUAUGACGAGGACGCCCUGAUCAUAGAAGGUCCAGUGUCUUGGCAGGGUGAAAUGGCACUGAUAUCGGUAUGUGGUGAUAUCAGUUAAAAUUAAUGAAUUAAUUCUCAUAUCUGAAUAAUGUGAACACUGGAUUUACCACACACUCACACACACCCUAGUCCUAGAUUAUACAACCAAGGUUACUUUUACCACAGCUCUGGCACUGCAUCAAAUUUCUUUUCUUUUUUAUAGAACUGGACAGGUCAUUUAUUCGUUCCCCUUGUUUUUUGCAGUGUCCUGCAGGAUGCUGUGUCCUGCAAUCCUGUGUGCUGUGCUACAGACGCGUGUGGAGGUCAACCCGAAAUGGGCACAGUAGAGUGAAAGAGGAUCCUGGCAGGGAGACGGUAGUGUCCUGCAGGAUGGUGAUGGGCAAUCUUACAAGAGACCACAGAAAACUGAUAUAGUCUCCCAGAAGUGAGACUGAGUGCCUGUUGCAGUAUGACGAGGAAGCAGUGACCAGAGACCUUCAGUAGACCCUGCUGGCAUGAUUGGCGGCUGAAGAACAUAAUCAACAGCAAUGUUUAUAAUAUUGUACAUACCUGUAUAGUCUGCACUAAAAUGCUGUACCUGUACUAUUUUUCCUCUUACUUUCAUAUUUACCACGUAUUUACUAUGAAUUGACAACUUUUACUCAAAUCCAUUUUUGUAUGUGCCCUGACUAAAACUAUCCUUAAACCUAACCUGUCAGAGGUGUAAUAACAACCUGCUCUUAGCAAUGUGGCAGCAGUCUACUUGGAUGCAGCGGGGAACAUAGAACCCUU